CCUACGGGGGGCAGCAGUGGGGAAUAUUGCACAAUGGGCGCAAGCCUGAUGCAGCCAUGCCGCGUGUGUGAAGAAGGCCUUCGGGUUGUAAAGCACUUUCAGCGGGGAGGAAGGCGGUGAGGUUAACAACCUCAUCGAUUGACGUUACCCGCAGAAGAAGCACCGGCUAACUCCGUGCCAGCAGCCGCGGUAAUACGGAGGGUGCAAGCGUUAAUCGGAAUUACUGGGCGUAAAGCGCACGCAGGCGGUCUGUCAAGUCGGAUGUGAAAUCCCCGGGCUCAACCUGGGAACUGCAUUCGAAACUGGCAGGCUAGAGUCUUGUAGAGGGGGGUAGAAUUCCAGGUGUAGCGGUGAAAUGCGUAGAGAUCUGGAGGAAUACCGGUGGCGAAGGCGGCCCCCUGGACAAAGACUGACGCUCAGGUGCGAAAGCGUGGGGAGCAAACAGGAUUAGAUACCCGAGUAGUC
rnacentral:rRNA from 1 species